rnacentral:lncRNA from 12 species
ACAUUUGGACUUCUGACCUUCAAAACCACACGAUCCUAAGUUGAUGCUGUUUGGAGCCACUGAGUCUGUGCUAAUCUGCUACAGCUGCCCUAGGACACGAAGGCACCCACUGCCGUUACCCCUUCCAAGUGCAAAUUCAUGUCAUGCCUGUUGGCAAAGCAGUCACCGUAUUAAAAGCAACCAGACCAACAGCUUCCUGCCUGGUGGGUAAGAUCUCCAGCUCGCACAGGGCACGAAGAGAGCCUGGCAGGUCUGCGGGGUCCCACAGAGAUUAAAUGGCAAGAGAAGGCAGACGAAACAGCAGCGGGCAGAGCUGGAGGAGGCUCCUCCAGUGCAGAGAGAGGUUUGGAGGGGAUGAAAGUCCUUGGGGGUGGGGGUCGGGGGUGAUCUAUAUAUACAUUUUUUCCAUCACAGAAGGAAAGCACCCAAGGCUUUAACUUGGGAGGUAAGUAGGGGGCAGGUGAGGCGCUCUGCACGCCCGGCUGCCAGCGGGGCUCGCGGCAGCGCACACUCCCUCGUGCGCGGCUCGCGGUCAAGUGCAGGUCACACAGCCACCUCUUCCCCGCGCCCCCGGUCCCCCAAGGACUGACUUGUGCAUAAACAAGAAAUAGGACCUGCCCCGGCGGAUCCGCGCGGCGGCGCCGGCACGUUCAACUCCGCUGCAUCCCGGGCUGCGACCCGGCCACACAAGUUCGCCCCCGGGCCGAGCCGCCGUCCUUACGUCCCCGCGGGCACCGGGCUAGCGGGCGAGCCCCGAGGUGCCCGGACGCCCCCGGCGAGCCCCGGCCAGCAGCGCGGGGAGGGGGGGGCUGGGCUCGGAGAGGGUGACGGCAGAGGGCGGUGGAGCCCGAAGCGCUUCAGGCCAGGGACGCUGGUGGAGGGGGCGCCACUUCCGAGCGGAGGCCCCAGUCAUAAGCGACGCUCCUGCAAGUGGCUUUUCCGGGGCGCUGGCCUGGGCCCUGCCGGAGAUGGUGGCCGCGGUCCCUGCCGACCUGAAGCUCCUGAGCGCGGCCCGGUGGGACAGGAACGAGAGUAAUACAGAUACAGGGGAGGAAGGAGUGCCAACACGGAUGGCCUGUAGGACCGUGAGAGCGACGACCUCUCGAAGGCCACACUCUACCCGUCGCGGCUGUUAGCGCGGAAGGCGAUGCGUGCGCUUAACACCGUGCCGCGGGGAGAAGUCCGUCGCUCGAGGAAAAGCACCUGGAUUCCCUGCACGCCGUCCACGAAGGCCCGGCCCAGCGGCCGAGGGGAGCCCUCAGUCCUGAGGACCCCGGGGUCGGCACCCCGGUGACACGAGGCAGAAUAAAACCAGCCUGAGCACACGGGUGAGGCA